AUACCUGCAGCCCAAGUGGUGGUCGAUUUUAUUGAGUCUAAAACGUUCGUAGCCGGUUCGGUAAAUCUUUGGGUAAAUCGGGGGGCUUAACCUCCCGACUUCCGAGGAGACUGCCGAACUUGGGACCGGGAGAGGCUAGAGGUACUUCUGGGGUAGGGGUAAAAUCCUGUAAUCCUAGAAGGACCACCGGUGGCGAAGGCGUCUAGCUAGAACGGAUCCGACGGUGAGGGACGAAGCCCUGGGUCGCAAACGGGAUUAGAUACCCCGGUAGUCCAGGGUGUAAACGCUGCAGACUUGGUGUUGGAGGCCCUUUGGGGGCAUCCAGUGCCGGAGAGAAGUUGUUAAGUCUGCUACUUGGGGAGUACGUCCGCAAGGAUGAAACUUAAAGGAAUUGGCGGGG
rnacentral:rRNA from 1 species